CUACGGGUGGCUCCAGUGGGGGAUAUUGCACAAUGGGGGAAACCCUGAUGCAGCAACGCCGCGUGAAGGAAGACGGAUUUCGGUCUGUAAACUUCUAUCAGCUGGGAAGAAAAUGACGGUACCAGACUAAGAAGCCCCGGCUAACUACGUGCCAGCAGCCGCGGUAAUACGUAGGGGGCAAGCGUUAUCCGGAUUUACUGGGUGUAAAGGGUUCGUAGGCGGUCACUUAAGUCAGAUGUGAAAGCCCGAGGCUCAACCUCGGGACUGCAUUUGAAACUGGGUAACUAGAGUACAGGAGAGGAAAGCGGAAUUCCUAGUGUAGCGGUGAAAUGCGUAGAUAUUAGGAAGAACACCAGUGGCGAAGGCGGCUUUCUGGACUGUUACUGACGCUCAUGAACGAAAGCGUGGGGAGCGAACAGGAUUAGAUACCCUUGUAGUC
rnacentral:rRNA from 1 species